AAAAUUAUAUUGAAAUAUACAUACUGCAUGUGUUAUAUUAUUUUAAAAUCCUCAUUAAUAAUUCAUAAGCUUAUUGGCAAAUCAUGUCAACCAUAAUAUGUCACGUGCAGUGGCUUUAAACCUGAUAAAACACUCCUAAUUAGUAUUCUUUAUAUAAAUACUACUAAUAAAGUAAUAAGGCAGUAUCUAUUGUAGUCGUGUCCUCAUUAGUAUUUUUUAGAUAAAGAAUACUAAUAAGGCAGUAUAUCUAUUGAAUUUGUAGUCGUGUUUGAAGCCGUUUAAUAAACUCGCAGGUCGUGUUUUAUUAGGUCUAAAACCUAAUAAAACACUCCUGCUCGUUUAUUAAACAGUACUUAAAAUCCUCAUUAAUAAUUCAUGAAGAAAAUUCAAAAGAAGUGAAUGUU